rnacentral:rRNA from 1 species
UACGGAGGGAGCUAGCGUUGUUCGGAUAUACUGGGCGUAAAGCGCACGUAGGCGGCGCAGCAAGUCAGGGGUGAAAUCCCGGAGCUCAACUCCGGAACUGCCCUUGAAACUGCAGUGCUAGAAUCCUGGAGAGGCGAGUGGAAUUCCGAGUGUAGAGGUGAAAUUCGUAGAUAUUCGGAAGAACACCAGUGGCGAAGGCGACUCGCUGGACAGGUAUUGACGCUGAGGUGCGAAAGCGUGGGGAGCAAACGGG